CUAAAGGCUCUUUUCAGAGCCACCCACCUAUUGACCAGAAAAGAG
rfam:Dipodomys ordii contig_22834, whole genome shotgun sequence.